UGUGAACAUACCUAUUUGUUGCCUCGGCGGUGCCUGUUCCGACAGCCCGCCAGAGGACCCCAAACCCUGAUUACAUUUAAGAAGUCUUCUGAGUAAACCGAUUAAAUAAAUCAAAACUUUCAACAACGGAUCUCUUGGUUCUGGCAUCGAUGAAGAACGCAGCGAAAUGCGAUAAGUAAUGUGAAUUGCAGAAUUCAGUGAAUCAUCGAAUCUUUGAACGCACAUUGCGCCCGCUAGUAUUCUGGCGGGCAUGCCUGUCCGAGCGUCAUUUCAACCCUCAAGCCCCCGGGCUUGGUGUUGGGGAUCGGCGAGCCUCCGCGCCCGCCGUCCCCUAAAUCUAGUGGCGGUCUCGCUGUAGCUUCCUCUGCGUAGUAGCACACCUCGCACUGGGAAACAGCGCGGCCACGCCGUUAAACCCCCAACUUCUGAACGUUUGACCUCGGAUCAGGUAGGAAUACCCGCUGAACUUAAGCAUAUCAAUAAGCG
rnacentral:rRNA from 1 species